rnacentral:misc_RNA from 1 species
AGUCGUAACAAGGUAUCCGUAGGUGAACCUGCGGAUGGAUCAUUACCAAAGGACUCUGUCCCAACGUAUUGUGAACUGUUUUGAACCACAGUCAGUCUUCUCUCCCUUAGCUUUUUGCCUAGGGAAAAUUCAGAGGGAGCCUCAAAAACUCCCAAUGAAGGAAGGCUGGCUGUACAUGCUAAACGCCAAAUUUUUCUAAACUGAAGUCUAUUUAGUAUUAACUAAAGAUAACUUUUAGCAACGGAUCUCUUGGCUCUC